GCGCACGUGCGCAUCGGCUAUGCGCGCGCCUCCACCGCGCGCCAGUUCGAGGGUGCCGUUCGGGCUGCGAUCCGCGCGCGGCGGGCGCGC
rnacentral:tRNA from 1 species